CAAGGAUGCUCCUGAGGCCCUCUCAUAUCCAUAAACACUGAAAAUCUGUGUCAGCAAUCAUUGGACCGACUUUUGUAGAAACCACUGUUUGUGACAGCUGUGUCCUACACAUUAUCUGUGAAGGAACUGGAAGAAACCUUUUCAUAAGGGCGAGAGGUGGCUACCUGACAUGAUCAACACCUUUCCUUUAAGCUUUCCUUUAAGGUUCAGCCUUGAGGGAAGACUUUGCAGCCCACUGGGAACAAGCUGCCUGUCUCCAUUAUUCAACCUGCUUUUCCAGUGUGCUGAUGAGCCCUGUGAACCUGAGUCCCAUGAACAUUGGUGGAAGUUGGUUUUUAAUCAGGGAGGUCUCAAGCAAGCCUUAGCAGGGCCAGAAACCAAGGAGCAGAAAUCUUGUGGCAUCCACCUGCAACCGCUCAGACUGUCACCUACACCUCCCCAGAGAGCCGAGAACUCCAUUUAGAAAUCUCCUAGGAAGUUGCUGGGUGAAAGAAACUGAAGCAAAGAGACAAGGAGAAAUUUCUCAGCUCUUGUAUAGAAGACAAGCCUCUUUCCCCUUAUGACAGAUAACUCUGACAUGUGAAAAAAGACAAAGAAGAGCAAUGGGAAAUUCUGAAGUAAUUACAAACCACAUGGCAUGAGCAAAUAUAUCCAUUUAGGAUGAACUUAUUUUUGGAAACAUUUUCUUGAACUCUGAAACAAUUUGGAUCUCUUGAAAGCAGUUCUGUUAAUUGAAAAGUCUAUUUUUCUUUUACAAAGCAACAGAUCUUUUUGCAUCCAUUUAAAACAUGCGUGCCCACUUCAUGUCCUUCUCAUUAAAUAGUUUUUGAUUAUGUUGUCAAUUGGAAAUCACUGGCUUCCAUUUCUCAUGGUGUAAUGUCAAUGAUUGGAAGCACAAGUGAUUUUCAAGCUGAAAUUUUUCAAGCUUUAUUUUUAUCUUUU
rnacentral:lncRNA from 1 species